rnacentral:rRNA from 1 species
AACGAACGCUGGCGGCAGGCUUAACACAUGCAAGUCGAACGCAUCGCAAGAUGAGUGGCAGACGGGUGAGUAACGCGUGGGAACAUACCCUUUUCUACGGAAUAGCUCUGGGAAACUGGAAUUAAUACCGUAUACGCCCUACGGGGGAAAGAUUUAUAGGGGAAGGAUUGGCCCGCGUUGGAUUAGCUAGGUGGUGGGGUAAAGGCCUACCAAGGCGACGAUCCAUAGCCGGUCUGAGAGGAUGAUCAGCCACAUUGGGACUGAGACACGGCCCAAACUCCUACGGGAGGCAGCAGUGGGGAAUAUUGGACAAUGGGCGCAAGCCUGAUCCAGCCAUGCCGCGUGAGUGAUGAAGGCCUUAGGGUUGUAAAGCUCUUUCACCGAUGAAGAUAAUGACGGUAGUCGGAGAAGAAGCCCCGGCUAACUUCGUGCCAGCCGCCGCAGUAAUAC